CACACACACACACACACACACACACACACACACACUUGUCUUUUUGGAAUGAAAGAGGGAGUCUAGUGGGUGCUCCAAUUGUCUCUUACCUGCUCCAGCAAUUUCCAUCAUUUCUGGGCGGGUGCUGGAAGUAGCGGCCCGAUUGGCGAUUCACUCCAGUACCCCAUCUGGCAUUUCGUGUUCAUUUCUUUGCCGCUUGCCAAAACAAGAACAUACACACAUUGAUUUAGAGUGCUUGUUUGGCAUUUAGAUAAUUGAAAUAGCCACAAUACUCAUUAUGGCCCCAUUAUAUUACCUUUAUGAAAAUAUUUCCUUAUACCCUCAUUAUUUGUUAACAAGCAUAUGAAAGAGAGCUUCGGUAUUUUUUCCUUGUGCGUAUGUCUCCACGGGUUUGUCCUUGUUGCUAUACAAACGACCUGCGCAAAUGUAAAUUUUUCACAUUGUGCAUGCUUUGCCAUCCCUCUGUGAUCCUCGCUGUGCGUUUGCAACAUGAUACCGCCGCGCUUAUUUCUGUGUGCGUUUGUCUAAAAAGGAAUGAAACUGACUCUGAUCUUAUCCAGCUUAAGACAAAUACGCUGUUCCGCCUGAAGACAUUGUCAUGGAAACAAACCAGUUUCCCUGGGUACCAGAGAGAAGGCCAAAUUCAAACUCUACAGAUGGAGGCAGAAGGGAAGGAGAGAUAUGAGCAAAAAGACACACGAAAAGUUAAGAUUUAGCACAGUGGCAGGAGGCGCUUUUCUCAUUACUUUACCUAAAAUGAAAGCCAGAGGUAUUUAAAAGACUCCUAAGUGUGACGAAAACGCAUUUAGAACAUGCAAAUCUGCUAUUAUGCAAAAGGUUUUGUUGUCAUUAAUGCUAGUUUAAUGUAUUUAAAACAUCCAUUAUUAAUGCCAUGUAUUCACGCUCUGCAUACCAAUAAUAUUGUUGACCAAUUAAAUGAACCCUUGAUGUCCACAUCUGAUCUAGAGAUUUGAUGUGGGGGAAAAAGAGGACAGAGAAACAUUUGUUUACUGCAACUGGUAUCAAUUUAACUACUAUGAAACACAUUUUUCUUACAUUGUGUAGCUUUUUUUCACUGAGAUGAACCUCCAUGCUGUUAUUGGUUGACACAGAGUUAAGGACCUCAUACUUGACACCCCUUCUAAAAACACUUAUGAUUGCCUGUUUUAAUAGUUCAAACUCCAAAUAUACCUUAAUAACCAUUAAUAAGCACAGUAGAAACCAUGAAACCACAGAAACUACUGUCUACAGUCUUCCUCAUCUCCGCUCUGGGCAUAGCAAGUCUAGUAGCAUCAGUAUUUUAGCUUCCCAAUCUGCAUUUUCUUUUGAAUAUUUUGGACAAACUCAGUGACUUUUCUGCAAUAAUUUGGAUUUACUUUGCACAGAAAAGUCCACAAAUAGGUGAAUCCACAAAUAGCUCCUACAUAAAAGUUCAGUGGUAUUGAUUGGAUAUUGUAAUAUAAUUGAUACCGACCAUUAGAAAUAUGAUGAUAGAGGAAGUAGUUUUGAAUCCCAACAAAAAACGAAGAACUAACAUUUAUGAAUGUUUAAGUAAUAUUCACUGAGUAAAAAGUUUCACACUAAAGAGUUGCGUUGUUAGCACUUCCUUGCUGUGUUGAUGUAUUGUUAAUUUGCUGAUUAUAAAAAGCAAUACUUUUGAUUCUGAAACCAGUCAUUUAUCGGUCAAGGCUGGUCAGGCAGAAAAAAAUUGGUCUGCCUGAUGUUUCCCCUCUAUUCUCAACUGGCUUCCUUAUUUCUAUUUUCUGCUUUUAAUAAAUUAAUUGGUUUAAAAUGGCAACAAAUGGCAAUCUAAAAAGACAAACUAAAAUCACACAAUCUGUGGUGUAAAAUAACGAGAGUCAAGUCAAAUCUAAGUAAAACUAAAAAGGAUCAACUAAAGCUGGAGAAUGUUGGCAAAAAGAUAAUUAAAGCUUAAUGAAUAUCUUAAAUCAAGAAGACAUAUAUAAAGUUUCUUCAGAUUUCUAUUUGGAUCGAUUUCCAUUUCUUUUUCCCAAAGACUGUUAUGCAUAAAAGAUAUAAAUGUACUUUUGAAUCCAACAGAAAUUGAAGAAAUUAAGAAAAUGAAUCCAAUUGAUAAAUCAAAGCAUAGUCCCCUGACCUGCAUCAGAUUUCUUAUUUAACCUAAAAGGUUCUCGCUGUUCAAACAGUUUUGAUGCACUUAACGAAUAGAAAAGCUGGUCCAGGUAAAAAUGGCCAGUUCUGAUCUCUAUUUUUUCCAAUCAUAUAAAUUCUUUUGUACUGAUUUGUUACUCCUCAUCUUACUUUCUGCAACCCGUGUGGCGUCUUAUACAGGAAUUUAAAGGUGCUACACUCAAACAAGCUAGCCUUCCCAAUAUCACUCAGUGAAAGGACAUUGUAAAUCAGAACAAAACCUGUGACAAUACAAUAAAGGAAUUUGAUUUAAAAAGAAAAGAAAAGAAAAGCAGUUCACACAAUGUCCAAUGUAGCUGAUUUGAACAUGGUCAUUACUGAAUACAUUUUUCCAUGUAGAUGCAUAAUAAUGACACCACCUUUGCAUCCUAAUGGUGUCAGUUCCCCCAGUUAUCACAGUCUGCUUGUUCACAGUCCACAUGGUUGUCCAGGAACCACGACUCCACCCGAGACGUAAAACAACAAAAAAUAAACACAUCAA